UUUCCGUAGGUGAACCUGCGGAAGGAUCAUUAAAAAAUGUGGUACCAAUUAUUGGUACUAAUUAAUCAUCCUACCCUUUGUGAAUUUGUUUGUAUGAAUUUUUUUAAAUGGGUCUUUCCCUAAGUUGGAUUGUUAGUAAAAUGCAAAAAGACUUAGGGAAUGACUUUUUUAAAAGACUUUUUUUUAAUUAAAACUUUUUGUAUUCAUUUGUCUAAAAUUUAUUUUUAUAAUAUAAAAACAACUUUUGACAAUGGAUCUCUUGGUUCUCGCAACGAUGAAGAACGCAGCAAAAUGCGAUAAGUAGUGUGAAUUGCAGAAUACGUGAAUCAUCGAAUCUUCGAACGCAUAUUGCACUUUUUUAGUUACUAAAAAAGUAUGUCUGUUUGAGUAUCAGUAAAAUAUUCUCACAAACAUAUAUUGUUUGUGGUUAUGAGUGUUUUACAACGAUAAACAAGUUGUUUCACUUUAAAUUCUUUUUGUAAUUUUAUACCAAUUCAUAAAUUAAAAUUGGAUAAAAUUUUCCUUUAACGAGGAAUAACCUAAACAAUUUUAAAUUUUUGGAUUAGUAAAUUCAUGAAGGAAUCUAUACAUAAAUAACUUGAUCUCAAAUCAGAUAAGAGUACUCGCUGAACUUAAGCAUAUCAAUAAGCGGGGAAAAGAAACUAACAAGGAUUCCUUAGUAACGGCGAGUGAAGCGGGAAGAGCUCAAAUUUGAAAUCUUCAAGGUUUGACCUUGACGAAUUGUAGUUUAUAGAAGUGUUUUCUGUUGGAGUUUUGGUAAAAGUUCUUUGGAAUAGGACAUCAUAGAGGAUGAGAAUCCCGUAUUUGACCAUGACUUUCCAGCUGUGUGAUACACUUUCAAAGAGUCGGAUUGUUUGGGAAUGCAGUCCAAAAUGGGUGGUAAAUUUCAUCUAAAGCUAAAUAUUGGCGAGAGACCGAUAGCGAACAAGUACCGUGAGGGAAAGAUGAAAAGAACUUUGAAAAGAGAGUUAAACAGUACGUGAAAUUGUCAAAAGGGAAGCGUUUGACACCAGUGUUGUUUUCUCGAAAAUCAAUUUAAUGAGUUCUUGUUUUUAAGUUAUUGUGACUUUAUCAGCGCAUUUCUUAUUUUACUUGACUCAUUGAAUGCACUUUUCGUUUAACAAGUCAACAUCAAUUUCUUUGGUGGUAAAAAGUUAAAGGAAGGUGGCUUGGACUUCGGUUCAAGUGUUUAUAGCCUUUUUCUAUGCCAUCGGAGAGAUUGAGGUCUGCAGCGUAGAUCCUUCGGGUUAGAUACCUUUGUGCUAAGUUAUAGUUUUUUAUAGACAACUUGUUGACUAUAAUUAACCCUGUAAUUUACUCGCUUAGGCUAUUU
rnacentral:misc_RNA from 1 species